ensembl:lncRNA
CUUCACUUCCACGUCUCGUUGGGUGCCACCAACCUCCCCCUUGGAAGAGCUGCUCCACACAGACUCAGGACUCUGUUCCAGUGGCCACUUCUGCUUGCAUCAAAUCCAGUCACUCAUGAGUAGAACCAAAGGAAACUGCUCACCUAGGAUGGAUUCUGGCUUCUGAGGCAACCAGGAGAAAACCAAGGACUUCUAUGCCUGUUGUUGGCCAUUUCUUUUCCUUCAAACAGUGGAGAGAAGUGACUAGAAGGUUCUCUGGACAAAACAAUGGAACUAACAGCCAACAAAUGAUCUUUCCUAUGUCUUAUGAGUACCUGUCAACUUCAGGUGUGCCACCACAAUUGAAUGGAAAGGUUUAAAGGCAGCCUGUUCACUAGAGGACAAACUAUCAUUCCAGAGACUUCAAUGAACUGGCUGGUGCCCAGCCUUCCUUCCAGCCAAGGUACCACCACUGAAUGAAGAGUGGCUGCUAUUUGGUUUGCACAAAAGCAACGAUGAGAAAAAAGCCUUGAAGGGGAACAAGCACCGGUCUGCUCAGCUGGUGAUGGUCGGACACCCUCACAAGACGGCAUGAAGGGCUGAGCCCUGCUGAGCCAUCACACCGAACACACAACACGAGCUGCACUCAGGUCUGGAUCUGAAAGCACUCAGAUGUGUGCAGCCCCCGUCUGUUAGCAGCAAAGAGCCCCUCCAGCUGCACGAGGCUCCCACACAUACCUGCAGGACUGGAGCCCAGGAACGAAAGCCCCAGGCCAUCCAGCAUCACAGCACCUCCUCACAUCUGCACUACUUUGGUCCAAAAGUUUCGUCCUCAGCCUCCAACGCUGACACACCAGGGUGGACCUCCAUGUGUGCAUCUCACUCCUAAUGCUUAAUUACCUUGAGCACAGAGAUAUCCACACCGCUCUGGAAAGAAAUCAAUUCUCCCUUUGCU